rnacentral:lncRNA from 10 species
AAUUCUCCUGCCUCAGCCUCCCAAGUAGCUGAGACUACAGGCACCUGCCACCAAUCCCAGCUAAGUUUUUGUAUUUUUAGUAGAGACAGGGUUUCACCAGGUUGGCCAGGCUGGUCUCAAUCUCCUGACCUCGUGAUCUGCCUGCCUCGGCCUCCUAAAGUGCUGGGAUUACAGGCAUGAACGACCACACCCGGCCUUACCAAGGAAAUCUUAAUCUUAUAUGUGUAUCUAUUUUUUGAGACAGCUUCUCACUCUGUCACUCAGGCUGGAGUGCAGUGGUGCUAUCUCAGCUCACUGCAGCCUCAACCUCCUGGGCUCAGGUAAUCCUCCCAUCUCAGCCUCCCAAGUAGCUGGGACUAGAGACAUGCACCAUCACACAUGCCCAGCUAAUAUAUUUUUGUAUGUUUUUUAUAGAGUCAGAGUCUCUAUGUUGCCCAGGCUUGUCUUCAACUCCUAGGCUCAAGCAAUUUGCCCAUCUCCCAAAGUGCUGGCUUUCUAAAGUGCUGGGAUUAUAGAUGUGAGCCACUGUGCCCAGCCAAUUUUUUUUUUUUUUUUUUUUUGAGACAGAAUCUCACUUUUUGUCACCCAGGCUGGAGUGCAGUAGUGUUAUCUCGGCUUACUGCAAGCUCUGCCUCCCGGGUUCAAUGAUUCUCCUGCCUCAGACUCCUGAGUAGCUGGGAUUACAGGUGUGCACCACCAUGCCUGGCUAAUUUUUUUUUUCUUUUUUUUUUUGAGAUGGAGUCUUGCUCUGUCACCUAGGCUGGAGUGCAAUGGCAUGAUCUCGGCUCACUGCAACCUCCACCUCCUGGGUUCAAGCGAUUCUCCUGCCUCAGCCUCCUGAGUAGCUGGGACUACAGGUGCAUACUACCAUGCCCGGCUAAUUGUUUUGUAUUUUUAGUAGAGACACGGUUUCACCAUGUGGCCAGGCUGGUCUUGAACUCCUGACCUCUGGUGAUCUUCCUGCCUUGACUCCCAAAGUGCUGGGAUUACAGGCAUGUGCCACUGCACCUGACCUUUUUUUUGAUACAGAGCCUUGCUCUGUCAUUCAAGCUGGAGCACAAUGACAUGAUCUCAGCUCACUGCAACCUCUGCCUCCCAGGUUCAAGCAAUUCUCCCUCAGCUACCUGAAUAGCUGGGAUUACAGCCACAUGCCACCAGGCCCAGCUAAUUUUUUGUAUUUUUAGUAGAGACAGAGUUUCUCCAUGUUGCCCAGGCUGUUCUUGAACUCCUGAGCUCAAGCAUGAGCCAUCAUGCCCUGCCUGGCCAAGUAUUUUAAAUACUGAAAAGAAUUUUGGGCUGGGUGGAAUGGUUCACGCCUAUAAUCCCAGCACUUUGGGAGGCCAAGGUGGGUGGAUCACUUGAGUUCAGGAGUUGGAGACCAGCCUGGGCAACAUGGCGAAACCUCGUCUCUACCAAAAAUCCAAAAGUUAGCUGGGUGUGGUGGUGGAUGUCAUCCCAGCAACUUGGGAGGGUGAGGCAUGAGAAUCACUUUACCUGGGAGGCGGAAGUUGCAGUGAGCCGAGAUCACACCAUUGCACUCCAGCCUGGGCUAUAGAGUGAGACUCUCUCUCAAAAAAAAAAAAAAAAAAAGAGAAUUUUGAAACUGUGUCACAGGUACCCUCCCCAAUGUCUUUGCUAGUCGUCUUGGGUCUCAUGUAGUCAUGUGGCACCCAGAGGGACUAUAAAGGGCAGGGCCUGAGUCCUGAAUUUAUAUACCAGGUGUAGAGCUCAGGACAGAAGACAGAGUGUGAAGAUGAUACCUGGAGGAUCAAAGCCCUCCUAGAAUAGGUAGGAGGCAAAGCUGGGGCAGGGAAAAGGGACCAUAAUUGAGUUUGACUCUGCCUUGCAGCUGGUGGUCUAGGCACUGGGAACAUGUCCCCAGGCCCGCCUUUGUAAUCACCCCACAGGUUCUUCUUGCCUGCUGCACAGACAAAAUCAAUUUAUUGAGACCACCACAUUGCAGUAGACAAAAAGUUUAACUGAUGCAAGGCUGGCCCAUUUGACUGGAGUUAUCAGUCAAAUCACUCUCCCUGAAGGUUUGAAGGUUAGGGGAUUUUAUGGACAAUUUGUUGGGCAGGGGGCUAGGGAAUGGGUGCUGCUGAUUGGCUGGAGAUGAAAUCAUAGGUGUGUGGAGAAUCGUCCUCUUGCUCUGAGUCUGCUUCUGGGAGGGGCCACAGGAUCAGCUGAGUCAUAAGUCAUGAGUCUAGUUGGGGUCAGUCUGAAAGAUAUCUAAAGAAAACCAACCUUAGGUUCUACAAUAGUAAUGUUUUCUAUAGGAGCAAUUGGGGAAGUUACAAAUCUUGUGCCCUCUGGCCACAUGACUCCUAAGCAGUAAGGGCUUAUCGAAAUUACACCUACAAACCUGGGAAACAAUGUGAGACCCUGGUGAUAUGGUUUGGAUAUGUGUUCCCACUAAGUCUCAGUUUGAAAUGUAAUCCACAAUUUUGGAGGCGGGGCCUGGUGGGAGAUGUUUGGGUUAGGGAGGCAGAUCCCUCAUGCCUUGCUGGAAUCCUUAUGAUAAUGAGUGAGUUCUCGUGUGAUCUGAUUGUUUAAAAGUACACAGCACCUCCCUCCCCACUCUCUCUUGCUCCUGCUUUCAUCAAGUGAAAACUCCCUGAGGCCUCCUCAGAAGCUGAGUAGAGGCCAGCACUAUGCUUCCUGUACAGCCUGUGGAACCAUGAGGCAAUUAAACCUCUUUUCUUUAUAAAUUA